GAACAUUAUGAGGAAGGGAGGAUUCAGAAAUCUGAAGUUGAAAUUCUGUCAAAGAAUUUAAUGAAAGGGGAAAAAAUCCAACUGUAGAUCUCUGAACAGGUUUGCAAAUGAGAACUAGAGAUGUUAAAUGUCAGAAUUGGGCCUCUAUGAAUUAUGACAACAUGAUUGAUAAUUUUCACAAGUUUAUCAUGACCAACUGAACCAUUAGAACUUGGAAU